AACGAACGCUGGCGGCAUGCCUAACACAUGCGAGUCGAACGAGACCUUCGGGUCUAGUGGCGCACGGGUGCGUAACGCGUGGGAAUCUGCCCUUGGGUUCGGAAUAACAGUGAGAAAUUACUGCUAAUACCGGAUGAUGUCUUCGGACCAAAGAUUUAUCGCCCAGGGAUGAGCCCGCGUAGGAUUAGCUAGUUGGUGGGGUAAUGGCCUACCAAGGCGACGAUCCUUAGCUGGUCUGAGAGGAUGAUCAGCCACACUGGGACUGAGACACGGCCCAGACUCCUACGGGAGGCAGCAGUGGGGAAUAUUGGACAGUGGGCGCAAGCCUGAUCCAGCAAUGCCGCGUGAGUGAUGAAGGUCUUAGGGUUCUAAAGCUCUUUUACCCGGGAUGAUAAUGACAGUACCGGGAGAAUAAGCUCCGGCUAACUCCGUG
rnacentral:rRNA from 1 species